GGGUAGUUAGCUCAGCGGUAGAGCCUCUGCCUUACAAGCAGAUUGUCAUUGGUUCAACUCCAAUAUUACUCA
rnacentral:tRNA from 1 species